CUGUUAAUUUUUACCACCCUGAACGUGCCCUAUCCCAUCUGAUCUCGGAAGCUAAGCAGGGUUGGGCCUGCUUAGAACUUGGAUGGGAGGUCCAUGUGCUUUUUAAU
rnacentral:rRNA from 1 species